rnacentral:rRNA from 1 species
GACGAACGCUGGCGGCGUGCUUAACACAUGCAAGUCGAACGGAAAGGCCCUGCUUUUGUGGGGUGCUCGAGUGGCGAACGGGUGAGUAACACGUGAGUAACCUGCCCUUGACUUUGGGAUAACUUCAGGAAACUGGGGCUAAUACCGGAUAGGAGCUCCUGCUGCAUGGUGGGGGUUGGAAAGUUUCGGCGAUUGGGGAUGGACUCGCGGCUUAUCAGCUUGUUGGUGGGGUAGUGGCUUACCAAGGCUUUGACGGGUAGCCGGCCUGAGAGGGUGACCGGCCACAUUGGGACUGAGAUACGGCCCAGACUCCUACGGGAGGCAGCAGUGGGGAAUAUUGCACAAUGGGCGGAAGCCUGAUGCAGCAACGCCGCGUGCGGGAUGACGGCCUUCGGGUUGUAAACCGCUUUCGCCUGUGACGAAGCGUGAGUGACGGUAAUGAGUAAAGAAGCACCGGCUAACUACGUG